AUUACCUACGGGAGGCAGCAGUGAGGAAUAUUGGUCAAUGGGCGCGAGCCUGAACCAGCCAAGUCGCGUGAGGGGAGACGGUCCUAUGGAUUGUAAACCUCUUUUGUCGGGGAGCAAAAGACGCCACGCGUGGCGUUCCGAGAGUACCCGAAGAAAAAGCAAAGGCUAACUCCGUGCCAGCAGCCGCGGUAAUACGGAGGAUGCGAGCGUUAUCCGGAUUUAUUGGGUUUAAAGGGUGCGCAGGCGGAAGAUCAAGUCAGCGGUAAAAUUGAGAGGCUCAACCUCUUCGAGCCGUUGGAACUGGU
rnacentral:rRNA from 1 species